rnacentral:SRP_RNA from 1 species
UGCUAGUCUCUAACACUGUUUUAAAUUGAACAUCUAGUCAGGUCUGGAAGGAAGCAGCUAAAUCAAUAUAAAAACAGGUGUUUUAAAGUAGCUAGCAGAA